rnacentral:rRNA from 1 species
GGUUAAGCGACUAAGCGUACACGGUGGAUGCCCUGGCAGUCAGAGGCGAUGAAGGACGUGCUAAUCUGCGAUAAGCGUCGGUAAGGUGAUAUGAACCGUUAUAACCGGCGAUUUCCGAAUGGGGAAACCCAGUGUGAUUCGUCACACUAUCAUUAACUGAAUCCAUAGGUUAAUGAGGCGAACCGGGGGAACUGAAACAUCUAAGUACCCCGAGGAAAAGAAAUCAACCGAGAUUCCCCCAGUAGCGGCGAGCGAACGGGGAGCAGCCCAGAGCCUGAAUCAGUGUGUGUGUUAGUGGAAGCGUCUGGAAAGGCGCGCGAUACAGGGUGACAGCCCCGUACACAAAAAUGCACAUGCUGUGAGCUCGAUGAGUAGGGCGGGACACGUGGUAUCCUGUCUGAAUAUGGGGGGACCAUCCUCCAAGGCUAAAUACUCCUGACUGACCGAUAGUGAACCAGUACCGUGAGGGAAAGGCGAAAAGAACCCCGGCGAGGGGAGUGAAAAAGAACCUGAAACCGUGUACGUACAAGCAGUGGGAGCACGCUUAGGCAUGUGACUGCGUACCUUUUGUAUAAUGGGUCAGCGACUUAUAUUCUGUAGCAAGGUUAACCGAAUAGGGGAGCCGAAGGGAAACCGAGUCUUAACUGGGCGUUAAGUUGCAGGGUAUAGACCCGAAACCCGGUGAUCUAGCCAUGGGCAGGUUGAAGGUUGGGUAACACUAACUGGAGGACCGAACCGACUAAUGUUGAAAAAUUAGCGGAUGACUUGUGGCUGGGGGUGAAAGGCCAAUCAAACCGGGAGAUAGCUGGUUCUCCCCGAAAGCUAUUUAGGUAGCGCCUCGUGAAUUCAUCUCCGGGGGUAGAGCACUGUUUCGGCAAGGGGGUCAUCCCGACUUACCAACCCGAUGCAAACUGCGAAUACCGGAGAAUGUUAUCACGGGAGACACACGGCGGGUGCUAACGUCCGUCGUGAAGAGGGAAACAACCCAGACCGCCAGCUAAGGUCCCAAAGUCAUGGUUAAGUGGGAAACGAUGUGGGAAGGCCCAGACAGCCAGGAUGUUGGCUUAGAAGCAGCCAUCAUUUAAAGAAAGCGUAAUAGCUCACUGGUCGAGUCGGCCUGCGCGGAAGAUGUAACGGGGCUAAACCAUGCACCGAAGCUGCGGCAGCGACGCUUAUGCGUUGUUGGGUAGGGGAGCGUUCUGUAAGCCUGCGAAGGUGUGCUGUGAGGCAUGCUGGAGGUAUCAGAAGUGCGAAUGCUGACAUAAGUAACGAUAAAGCGGGUGAAAAGCCCGCUCGCCGGAAGACCAAGGGUUCCUGUCCAACGUUAAUCGGGGCAGGGUGAGUCGACCCCUAAGGCGAGGCCGAAAGGCGUAGUCGAUGGGAAACAGGUUAAUAUUCCUGUACUUGGUGUUACUGCGAAGGGGGGACGGAGAAGGCUAUGUUGGCCGGGCGACGGUUGUCCCGGUUUAAGCGUGUAGGCUGGUUUUCCAGGCAAAUCCGGAAAAUCAAGGCUGAGGCGUGAUGACGAGGCACUACGGUGCUGAAGCAACAAAUGCCCUGCUUCCAGGAAAAGCCUCUAAGCAUCAGGUAACAUCAAAUCGUACCCCAAACCGACACAGGUGGUCAGGUAGAGAAUACCAAGGCGCUUGAGAGAACUCGGGUGAAGGAACUAGGCAAAAUGGUGCCGUAACUUCGGGAGAAGGCACGCUGAUAUGUAGGUGAAGUCCCUCGCGGAUGGAGCUGAAAUCAGUCGAAGAUACCAGCUGGCUGCAACUGUUUAUUAAAAACACAGCACUGUGCAAACACGAAAGUGGACGUAUACGGUGUGACGCCUGCCCGGUGCCGGAAGGUUAAUUGAUGGGGUUAGCCGCAAGGCGAAGCUCUUGAUCGAAGCCCCGGUAAACGGCGGCCGUAACUAUAACGGUCCUAAGGUAGCGAAAUUCCUUGUCGGGUAAGUUCCGACCUGCACGAAUGGCGUAAUGAUGGCCAGGCUGUCUCCACCCGAGACUCAGUGAAAUUGAACUCGCUGUGAAGAUGCAGUGUACCCGCGGCAAGACGGAAAGACCCCGUGAACCUUUACUAUAGCUUGACACUGAACAUUGAGCCUUGAUGUGUAGGAUAGGUGGGAGGCUUUGAAGUGUGGACGCCAGUCUGCAUGGAGCCGACCUUGAAAUACCACCCUUUAAUGUUUGAUGUUCUAACGUGGACCCGUGAUCCGGGUUGCGGACAGUGUCUGGUGGGUAGUUUGACUGGGGCGGUCUCCUCCUAAAGAGUAACGGAGGAGCACGAAGGUUGGCUAAUCCUGGUCGGACAUCAGGAGGUUAGUGCAAUGGCAUAAGCCAGCUUGACUGCGAGCGUGACGGCGCGAGCAGGUGCGAAAGCAGGUCAUAGUGAUCCGGUGGUUCUGAAUGGAAGGGCCAUCGCUCAACGGAUAAAAGGUACUCCGGGGAUAACAGGCUGAUACCGCCCAAGAGUUCAUAUCGACGGCGGUGUUUGGCACCUCGAUGUCGGCUCAUCACAUCCUGGGGCUGAAGUAGGUCCCAAGGGUAUGGCUGUUCGCCAUUUAAAGUGGUACGCGAGCUGGGUUUAGAACGUCGUGAGACAGUUCGGUCCCUAUCUGCCGUGGGCGCUGGAGAACUGAGGGGGGCUGCUCCUAGUACGAGAGGACCGGAGUGGACGCAUCACUGGUGUUCGGGUUGUCAUGCCAAUGGCACUGCCCGGUAGCUAAAUGCGGAAGAGAUAAGUGCUGAAAGCAUCUAAGCACGAAACUUGCCCCGAGAUGAGUUCUCCCUGACCCUUUAAGGGUCCUGAAGGAACGUUGAAGACGACGACGUUGAUAGGCCGGGUGUGUAAGCGCAGCGAUGCGUUGAGCUAACCGGUACUAAUGAACCGUGAGGCUUAACCUU